rnacentral:rRNA from 1 species
AUUGAACGCUAGCGGGAUGCCUUACACAUGCAAGUCGAACGGAGUGGCGAACGGGUGAGUAAUGUAUCGGAACGUGCCCAGUAGCGGGGGAUAACUACGCGAAAGCGUAGCUAAUACCGCAUACUAUUGGAGCGGCCGAUAUCUGAUUAGCUAGUUGGUGGGGUAACGGCUCACCAAGUCGACGAUCAGUAGCUGGUUUGAGAGGACGACCAGCCACAGUGGGACGGGGACACGGCCCAGACUCCUAAGUGAGGCAGCGUUGGGGAAUUUUGGACAAGGGGUGAAACCCUGAUCCAGCCAUCCCGCGUGGGCGGUGAAGGCCUUCGGGUUGUAAAGCACGUUUGGCAGGAAAGCGGUACCUGCAGAAUAAGCACCGGCUAACUACGUGCCAGCAGCCGCGGUAAUUC